GGACGGCGUACUUGAUCAGACGCAAAGCCUUUUGCUUGACGAUGGGGCUCUUGUGAUCGAGUCGCUUGAGGAUGAACUCGGCGAUUUCUUUGACGAUGCUGGGGUGGGAGGAGCGGAGGAGCUCGCAGACCUCUUCGAGCUUGUAGACGGGGGCGACCUUGUCCUCGUCGGCGGUGACGGCGUCAAUCAUGCGAGAGCGCCAGUAUGACUCGACGGCUCUGCGGCUGGUGUCCAUGGCCGCCGAUCGGGCAGAUCAGAGGUGGCGCCGAUCGGAUCUCGGAGAAUUGGUGGUGAGAUUAGG
rnacentral:misc_RNA from 1 species